AAUGCUUUGUUAAAUGGCAGGUGAGCGUUAGCCUGGAAGCCUUGGGUAUCUUAUAUUUACAUGCUGCUUUACAGCUUCUGCAGCAACUUCGUCUUUUCUCAUUGGACCUUGAGAACAAUGCAGAGAUUGCAUUGUCCCCCAUGUCAGAGCCAGGAGAUCAGGGGUGCAGACGUGUGAAGUGACCCAUCCUAGAUCCCACCGCUGUUCGCAUUCUCAAGUUUGAGCUUAGAUCCUCUGCUUCCAAGGUUGGUGGAGUUUUCUCACUGGCUUCACGUACUGGUGUUGGUGGAUAAUAGCGUGAUUAAUUUCACUUUCUGUGUCUUACUCCAUGAGCCCUAAUGCUUCUGCUGAGAUUCCUAAUUCAGUGAAACCUGUUUAGGGGAUCAUCUCUGUUAGGCAGACAGCUGCUGAAAAGGCAUUCACUUUCCAAGCAUGGAUUUUAGAUUAUGGCCAAUCAAGACUCCGGCCUGGAAGAACACCUGUCAGAGACGUUUUUCUACAAGGAGAUGGUCUCUUUAAUCAUAUUUCAUUGUACUUCAGAAAAAGGGAGCAAAGUUUGUCA
rnacentral:lncRNA from 1 species